CCUACGGGUGGCAGCAGUGGGGGAUAUUGCACAAUGGAGGAAACUCUGAUGCAGCGACGCCGCGUGAGGGAAGACGGUCUUCGGAUUGUAAACCUCUGUCUUUGGGGAAGAAAAUGACGGUACCCAAAGCGGAAGCUCCGGCUAACUACGUGCCAGCAGCCGCGGUAAUACGUAGGGGGCGAGCGUUGUCCGGAAUUACUGGGUGUAAAGGGAGCGUAGGGGGGCGAGAAAGUUGAUUGGUAAAUCUACCGGCUAAACUGGGAGCUGCAUUCAAAACUUCUUGUCUUGAGUGAAGUAGAGGCGGGCAGAAUUCCUGGUGUAGCGGUGAAAUGCGUAGAUAUUAGGAGGAACACCAGUGGCGAAGGCGGCCUGCUGGGCUUUGACUGACGCUGAGGCGCGAAAGCGUGGGGAGCAAACAGGAUUAGAUACCCGAGUAGUC
rnacentral:rRNA from 1 species